rnacentral:tRNA from 1 species
GGGGCAGUAACUCAGUUGGGAGAGUGCCAGACUGAAGAUCUGGAAGUCGCCGGUUCAAGUCCGGCCUGCCCCA